AGUAACGCGUAGGUAACCUACCUCAUAGCGGGGGAUAACUAUUGGAAACGAUAGCUAAUACCGCAUAAGAGAGACUAACGCAUGUUAGUAAUUUAAAAGGGGCAAUUGCUCCACUAUGAGAUGGACCUGCGUUGUAUUAGCUAGUUGGUGAGGUAAAGGCUCACCAAGGCGACGAUACAUAGCCGACCUGAGAGGGUGAUCGGCCACACUGGGACUGAUACACGGCCCAG
rnacentral:rRNA from 1 species